CAGCAGCCACGGUAAUACGGAGGGGGCUAGCGUUGUUCGGAAUUACUGGGCGUAAAGCGCACGUAGGCGGCUUUGUAAGUCAGAGGUGAAAGCCCGGGGCUCAACCCCGGAAUUGCCUUUGAGACUGCAUCGCUUGAAUCCAGGAGAGGUGAGUGGAAUUCCGAGUGUGGAGGUGAAAUUCGUAGAUAUUCGGAAGAACACCAGUGGCGAAGGCGGCUCACUGGACUGGUAUUGACGCUGAGGUGCGAAAGCGUGGGGAGCAAACAGGAUUAGAUACCCCAGUAGUCCCUGUCUCUUAUAC
rnacentral:rRNA from 1 species